GUAAAGGUGAAUAGGGAUUGUUGGGGGGCUUCGUAUUUGAGCGGCCGAGGUGAAAUUCUUGGAUUUGUUGAAGACGGACUACUGCGAAAGUCAUCUGCCAAGAUGUUCUCAUUGAUCAAGAACGAAAGUUAGGUGAUCGAAGACGAUCAGAUACCGUCCUAG
rnacentral:rRNA from 1 species